rnacentral:rRNA from 1 species
AGGACGAACGCUGGCGGCGUGCUUAACACAUGCAAGUCGAGCGGUAAGGCCCUUUCGGGGGUACACGAGCGGCGAACGGGUGAGUAACACGUGAGCAAUCU